rnacentral:lncRNA from 1 species
AGGAUCUUCUUCUGUUAAAAAUGUAUAAAAUCCUUCUCCCAAAUUUUUAUGUUCAGCUAUAACCUCGAGACAAGAUUCCUGCUUUUAUGGACUUAAAUUUUGAGUUUUCUUCCUUUUCCUGCACUGCUCUGUACGGAGGGUUCCAUCUCUUCCUAAUAUCUCAUUUCGAAGCCUUGAACUUUUCCAAUUUGGAAAUUCCAAAUCCCAAACAAUUAUUUGCUGAUGACUUCUUAAAGUGUAAUUGGAGUUCUAAUUGAAGCUCCUUUCCACCAAUGAUAACUCAUUUCACCAAGUCACCAGAUUCAGUAAGUUUCAGAUUACCCGUCGGUAGAUUAAACCUGCUUCCGAUGAAGCUUUGGGUAUUAAGAUUACAUCUUUUUGCACGAAACAGAUUCAAAACAAAAAAAAGAACAAAAAGCAGAUAAAAGGAGAGGCAGUUAACUCACAGCAAAGAAAUCUUUCCCACAAGGUUCAAGUAAUAUAGCUUGGAAGUACCACUUACAAAUAACGCCGGCGAUGCAAAGUUACAAUGAUUUAUAGAAAAAUCGAACAACAUC